UUGUUUCAAUCCUCCUUACCUACUUGGCCA
rnacentral:piRNA from 1 species